rnacentral:rRNA from 1 species
CCUACGGGUGGCAGCAGUGAGGAAUAUUGGUCAAUGGGCGAGAGCCUGAACCAGCCAAGUCGCGUGAGGGAGUACUGCCCUAUGGGUUGUAAACCUCUUUUGUCGGGGAGCAAAAGCCGGACGUGUCCGGCUGUGAGAGUACCCGAAGAAAAAGCAUCGGCUAACUCCGUGCCAGCAGCCGCGGUAAUACGGAGGAUGCGGGCGUUAUCCGGAUUUAUUGGGGUAAAAGGGUGCGCAGGCGGAUUUUGAGGUCAGCGGUAAAGUCGUGGGGCUCAACCCCAUCCAGCCGUUGAAACUGGGGAUCUAGAGUGUGCGAGAGGUAUGCAGAAUGCGUGGUGUAGCGGUGAAAUGCAUAGAUAUCACGCAGAACCCCGGUGGCGAAGGCGGCAUACCGGUGCACAACUGACGCUCAGGCACGAAAGCGUGGGUAUCGAACAGGAUUAGAUACCCGGGUAGUC